AGCGAACGCUGGCGGCAGGCUUAACACAUGCAAGUCGAGCGGGCACUUCGGUGUCAGCGGCAGACGGGUGAGUAACACGUGGGAACGUACCCUUUGGUUCGGAAUAACGCUGGGAAACUAGCGCUAAUACCGGAUACGCCCUUUUGGGGAAAGGCUUGCUGCCGAAGGAUCGGCCCGCGUCUGAUUAGCUAGUUGGUGGGGUAAUGGCCUACCAAGGCGACGAUCAGUAGCUGGUCUGAGAGGAUGAUCAGCCACACUGGGACUGAGACACAGCCCAGACUCCUACGGGAGGCAGCAGUGGGGAAUAUUGGACAAUGGGCGCAAGCCUGAUCCAGCCAUGCCGCGUGAGUGAUGAAGGCCUUAGGGUUGUAAAGCUCUUUUGUCCGGGACGAUAAUGACGGUACCGGAAGAAUAAGCCCCGGCUAACUUCGUG
rnacentral:rRNA from 1 species